GACGAACGCUGGCGGCGUGCCUAAUACAUGCCAGUCGAGCGGACGAAUCGAAAGCUUGCUUUUGAUUCGUUAGCGGCGGACGGGUGAGUAACACGUGGGCAACCUGCCCUGUAGACGGGGAUAACACCGAGAAAUCGGUGCUAAUACCGGAUAACACGAAAUGUCGCAUGACGUUUCGUUGAAAGACGGCGCAAGCUGUCGCUACAGGAUGGGCCCGCGGCGCAUUAGCUAGUUGGUGAGGUAACGGCUCACCAAGGCGACGAUGCGUAGCCGACCUGAGAGGGUGAUCGGCCACACUGGGACUGAGACACGGCCCAGACUCCUACGGGAGGCAGCAGUAGGGAAUCUUCCGCAAUGGCCGAAAGUCUGACGGAGCAACGCCGCGUGAGCGAAGAAGGCCUUCGGGUCGUAAAGCUCUGUUGUUAGGGAAGAACAAGUAACGCAGUAACUGGCGUUACCGUGACGGUACCUAACGAGAAAGCCACGGCUAACUACGUG
rnacentral:rRNA from 1 species